rnacentral:rRNA from 1 species
GAUGAACGCUGGCGGCGUGCCUAAUACAUGCAAGUCGAGCGAACGGACGAGAAGCUUGCUUCUCUGAUGUUAGCGGCGGACGGGUGAGUAACACGUGGAUAACCUACCUAUAAGACUGGGAUAACUUCGGGAAACCGGAGCUAAUACCGGAUAAUAUUUUGAACCGCAUGGUUCAAAAGUGAAAGACGGUCUUGCUGUCACUUAUAGAUGGAUCAGCGCUGCAUUAGCUAGUUGGUAAGGUAACGGCUUACCAAGGCAACGAUGCAUAGCCGACCUGAGAGGGUGAUCGGCCACACUGGAACUGAGACACGGUCCAGACUCCUACGGGAGGCAGCAGUAGGGAAUUUUCCGCAAUGGGCGAAAGCCUGACGGAGCAACGCCGCGUGAGUGAUGAAGGUCUUCGGAUCGUAAAACUCUGUUAUUAGGGAAGAACAUAUGUGUAAGUAACUGUGCACAUCUUGACGGUACCUAAUCAGAAAGCCACGGCUAACUACGUG